rnacentral:rRNA from 1 species
UAACUCACUUCCACAACGCCCGGAUAUUACGAGCUUUAGCUUAAAACCCAAAGGACUUGACGGUGUCCCAUCCAUCUAGAGGAGCCUGUUCCAUCAUCGAUAAUCCCCGCUACACCUAACCACCCCUUGCCAAUCAGUCUGUAUACCUCCGUCGUAAACUUACCAUGUGAGUGCUCACAGUAAGUUUAAUGGCCACCAUCACCAAUACGUCAGGUCAAGGUGCAGCUCAUGGGGCGGCAGGCAAUGGGCUACAAUUUCUACACUAGAACAAACGAAACGCUGCAUGAAAUACAGCCACGAAGGCGGAUUUAGUAGUAAAAAGAAAAUAGCGUGUUCUUUUUAACUAGGCCCUGGGACGUGU